UACGUAGGGACCAAGCGUUGUUCGGAUUUACUGGGCGUAAAGGGCGCGUAGGCGGCGCGGUAAGUCACUUGUGAAAUCUCUGAGCUUAACUCAGAACGGCCAAGUGAUACUGCAGUGCUAGAGUGUGGAAGGGGCAAUCGGAAUUCUUGGUGUAGCGGUGAAAUGCGUAGAUAUCAAGAGGAACACCUGAGGUGAAGACGGGUUGCUGGGCCAACACUGACGCUGGGACGGCGAACCAGGGAAGCCAAG
rnacentral:rRNA from 1 species